CUGCCCACUGGGUGAAACUGCAAGUCGAGAGCGUGGGAAACCAGCAAGUUGAGAGAGGAUCCAGAAGUAACCCCUUCUAAAACGGGAAAGAUGCCUUCCGAAAGCACUUGGCCCUAAAGAGAAAACACUAGGAGGAUGGGAACCAGGGACAGAGAAGCUACUUGCUCUGCAGCUGUUUGGGCCAGAUGUGACUUGCUCCUCCUUGUUUUCCAACAUGAUUGUGAGGCCUCCCCAGCCACGUGGAACUGGAGAAGACCACAGAAGCUCUGCAUUUGGAACUUUUCCUGGAUUCUGUCCCAUUUGCUUCUUCCCAUGACCGAUUUUGAUCUGUAU
rnacentral:lncRNA from 1 species